UCGGGAGCAGCUGUGUGGACCAGAGGAUCGUGGCUGCAGGUGGAUCCCAGCCUGGGCUCUGCCUUGACUCUAGAGGCUAGCAAACUUGUCCAAGCCUAAAGUCCUGCCCAGAAAAGAUCUGCACAGAUAUACAAGCUUCAUUCAGCCAGAGGCUCACCAUAUCAUUGGGGGCGAUUUCAUAACUCUGGGACUUAAAGAUCAUGGAUCAAAGCUUUGCCACAUCUCAGCAGCUGUCUUUACUACUUGAGAGAGAGCAUCCUGAAUCCUCCCAAGCUCAUCAAAGAGAAGGAAGCUGUUACUGAAGAUGAUCAGGGUAGACUGCAGUACAUCUCACCCAUCAAUGGGCAUUUCCUAUCAGGAGCAUCUUUAUUUUUUACCUGAAGCCUCUUGCCCCUCCAAACAGCUGGAGUCAGAUAAGGUUAUACCUGUUUGCAUCAGAAGGAGAAGAAGAGGGCAAGUACUGUGCUAAAGUGUGAUGCCUGGGUGACAGCACAACUGAACAGCAUGAUGGGAGAAGCUACUGAACACAUCCAGAUGAGAGA